GUGCUGGGAUUACAGGCAUGAGCCACCGCGCCCAGCAGAGUUUGCAUUUCUAACAUGCUCUCCGGGUACUUUUUUUGCCUGCUGAAGUGGAGAACCUCUGGGUUCUGACGGUGAAUUGUCAGAGGUCUUCACAGACUCGAGUCCACAGAGGCCUUCAGGUGCCAACGCAGGGGCCUCAUGGCUGGGCUUCCUGGGUCCCCACCCUGGGUCAGUGCAGGCCUCAACCAGAGCAACUCCCCUGGGGUUUUAAGAAAACAAAUGUUCCCCUUCUCACUCAUUAGACAUUAGAAACUUCUGGGCUGGGGUCAGGGCCACUUUUGUAAUUUGUGGGGUCCAGUGCAAAAUGAAAAUGCAGGGCCCUUAUUCAAAACACGGGAGGAAAGCUUUUUUCCUUUCUUCUGUGGCCUCCCAUGUCACAGUGGGACAUGGGAUUUAAUUUGUGAUUUAAUAUCAUGCACCCUUCAGGCAUGGGGAUACAGACAAGGUGAGUACAGACCCUCACCAGCUUCCGGACCUUCCUGAGGAAGCUGCAGUUUACAGAGAAACCUCUGAGUUCUUUUUGGAGCAAAACUGACUGCAGUAGGGAGAAAGCCGCGCAGCUGGCAACAAGCAGGUACUUAGGGUGAUUAACGAAUGCAUUUGAAAAUUCCCUCCUGCUUCAGCCUCAGCCUGCACCUGAGCUCUGGUCUGCAGCAGUACAUUUCCGGAUAAUCUCUUUUGACAACUGAGAGGGCAGCCAACCCACAAGACUAACCCAAUUACAGCGAAAGAGAGAUCUGGCUGCUCCCUGUUGACAAGAAAAACCACCUACAAGGACUCCUCAAACUCUCAAUAAACGUAGACUGUUCUCAUAGGACUCAGACUCUCUUGGACAGAAAUCUUUGUCCCCGUGAAAUGCUGCCAUGUCGUCCUGAGAGACAAGAUGGGUGAGUUCUCUAUCGUGAUGAUGUGAAGUUGGUUUCCUCGGAACAUCUGGUACAACUGGGCCAUCUGAGCUGGCCCCCAAAGCCGCGUUGUUAUUUAUGCCCGUGGCUUUAGGGCCCCAGGAAUCAAUGACUGUGAGGCAAACCCUGACAAGAUCAUGUUUCAGCGCGUCUCCCCUGUGGUAGAAAGAACAUGACCCCAUGUUCUUUCCAUGCCUGUUGAAACAAGAGAGUACACGUUUCUGCCACCCAGGCUCUGGCUGUGCAUGUGGUCUUGCUAGCUAAGAACUAUGCUUGAUGUGGAGAUAAAGCACUGCAGGGGGAAGUAUUGUGUCUUCUGGGAUCCUAGAGUGGAUUCCAGGGAAAAGAUCAUGAAGUCCUGUAUUACAAAAUCUCGCGUUCCAUUUCAAAGAGUCUCCUCCAAACCUACUGUUAAAAGUAUCACUGGUCCAAAAACCCAAAUGGAGAAGAGAUUUGGGAUCUCAGGAACUUCGGUGCCCCAUGUGGUUUAGCCAGUCUCUCAUGUUAUUUAGCAAGCCCACAGCAGGCAGCAUCCUGGCCACCAAGUUGCCAGAAACAAGUGAGAUAGAUUUUUGAAAAUAGCGUCUUCCUCAACCUCUGUAGAAACAUCAGUCUUUGAUACAAGGUGGUCAGAAAACCCAGAAAAAAGUACUUUUGCCUGGGCCUUAGGCAGCAGAGAGGUCCCUUCCAGCAUUGCAAGUUCCAUAACAAGCUCCAUGGUGACCCAAACUGGCAGCUUGGUCCUCACUUGUAGAAUGGGGAAGGCCGGGGAACACUUCAGAAGAUGGGCCAGCCUCUGUGGACUCACCAGGCAUGAUGACAAGUAUCCAUAAUUCUAAUUCUAAUUCUAAUUCUAAUUCUAAUUCAAUUAACCACUCAGAUUUGGGCUUAUGGGAAAGAAUGACAUCUUGGGAAAGGGAGCUGCUUUCUCUCAGCCCCUCUCAGGGAGUGGAAAACUUUCCGGAGUGUACAAGCAGCUUCCUAUACAGAUGAGCAUCUUGCCUGAUGACACACCAUGUUUCCCAUGGGGAGAGCCUGGGGCAGGCUUGGCCACUGAGGCCUGAUUGUCUCUGGAAGGCAGGCCAGAUUCUAUUUCUGUUACCACACAGCUUUCUCCUAUCUCCAGUUCUGCUCUUGCUAUGUUCCAAGCUGAGUGCUCUCUGACUGACUUGGCUUUGGUGAAUUCCUACAGACAUCCCAAAUUCUACCAUCAAGGGGCUUGCUUACUCAAGAGCCAAGCUCAUCUCCAGUGAGGCAAGAGUUACCUUGGCGGAUGCAUCUCUGGGUGGCAAAGCGUUAAUACCUCUUGCUCUCUCCCAAGGCCUUUGAGUGGCUACCUCUGAGGUGAAGUCAUAUCUUCUCCCUUGGAUGGCCUUAUCCUCAGCCCUCCCUGAGCCAGGACAGACAGCUGGCCUGCCCCGUGGUGUGAUCUCAGAGGGUGUCUCCUCAAAGCAACAUGAGAAUUUUACAGGAAGAGACUCAACACACACUUCUUGGAGUCCAAAUGGGCUGGCCACAGAAUCGCUGGAGAACCUGGCCAGUGUGAUGCUGACAAUGGCCCCUCAACAAGCUCCUGUAGCCACAACUGCCCUCCAAUAUGUUUCCUAACCUACACUGGUGUUCCCACCCUCUGCCUACCACCACAGAGAACCCGGAACACUAGAGGGGACCAUGGGAAUGUCUACAAUAGCUUCAUGGUUGCUGUCAGGACAUCUGAAGGCAACUGUGAACCUAUUUGAGACUAGAGGGGAGGUAGAACCCUCCCUCAGCUCUUUAAGUCCAGCCAUUCCCCAGGGCUUGUUCAGUCAAGGAGAGAGAGAGGCUGCCAGCAGCCUCUCUCCUUGGGAGCUGCGAUCCAAGCUUUCUGCAGACUGACAUGGAGUGCCUUCUGCAGAGCUCAGUGGCUUCUCUGGCUCCCUCCUGAAGCCAGGGUGAAACGGAGCUGGCAUCUAGAAGUCUGGUGAGUACUUCCUGGCCUGGGCCCAAGGAAGCUGUUCCUAGUGGGACAAUAGCUGGUCCUCACGACUUGAGGUCGAGUGGGAAACUGUUCCCAGCUACUUCAUACAGCAAAGGCAGCACAGAAGGAGCAGCCUCCUUGAAGGAGGAAAACUGGGUGAUGCACUGCAUCCCUUUGCUCUUGGGUUAAUUCCUGGGUUCUGGCUUUCUCACAUUCUGGGACCCUACCCUGGAUGUGAAGCUCCUUCAGGGCCAAAGACAUGUGCUACCGCAUGUGGCUGCUGCAUAGGUCGUGGAACUGUAAACUGGCUGGGCAGUGACCUCCUCUGGGGAGUCCCUUGAAGAGCAUACUGACAUGGCCACUCACCCUCCAAAGGGGCUGCUCUAAAGGAAGCUAAGAUCUGGAAAUCCACCCAUUCCCUGGAACAGGUAUGGAAAGACUUCACCUGGGAUCUGCCAGGUUCUCUUCCUAGCUUUCCAGAGAACCUCCCUGGGAAAAGGACCCAUGCUGUGGGGGCUCCUGCUGUUCUUCCCAUCUGUCCCCUGGGAAGAGGGUGAAUCCUCUCUGGAGACUUUGACACUCCAGAACUACACUGCACUGUCUGUUUGGAAGAUAUAAAGGAAGACAGCGAGAGAGAGGAGGCAACUUGGUGGUUUCUGAGAACACAGUCAUCAAGGUUGUAAAAUGGCAUCAUUAUUGUUAGUCCUCACACUGUCUACUAGCUAUUUAAAUGAGAACAGAAGUUAGAAAUUCAGUUUCUCAGUUGCACUAGCCACAUUUCAUGUUCUCAAUAGCCACGUGUCUAGUGGCUACUGUGUUGAGCAGGGCAGAUUAGAGUAACUUCCAUCAUUUAUAUACACGGCAUGACCAUAUUUAAAUAAAACUGUAGUUACGAAAAACAGGCAGCAGCUGGAUUUGUUUCAUGAGCUGUAGUUUGCAGAUCCCAGCUCUAGGCCUAAACUGUCAUGCUUUCCUUUGAAGAGGGCUUGUUUUUGCUUGUAGUUUGGUGAGUACCAAACUAGAAGCACACCAGCCCUCCAGGGCUCUCCUCAGGGCAAGAGUCCCAGAUUUGUGUCCUCAUUUUCCUGCCAUCCCAGGGCUUAGUGUCUGGAAGUACCCUCAGGGCAAUGUGGCUCUUAGCAAGUUCUUGCUGUUCUAAUCCCAUCAUGGUUUUCUCUGGAGGGUAAGGUGGGGAGAGGGUCCAUAGAGACCUCUUGUUUGCAAAUAAAACAUUUUGUGUACCAGAGGUAGAUGUUCUCUCUUACAUUAUUUUCCUUCUCCCUCUGGUUAAACUUGGCAGUUAUGUCUUCUGCAGGGGAAUUGAAUAAAACUUUCAGUCUCUUUAGGAAGUUAAAGCUGUGCGCUGCUUUCUUCAUGGUGUUCUGAUUCAGCACUGUAUCUGAUGUCUGGGGAUUCCUUCGUGGAGUGUUGAGAUCUGUACUCACUGGAGGGCAGAGAUGAGAUCAUACAGAGCCUAGAUGUGGGCCUUGCCUGUUCUCUCCAAGCUGCCAAUGCCAGGAUUAGUAGCACUGAAAGCCAAGAUGAGACAAAACCUCAGGGUAGUGUAUGUUCCAGUCAGAAGGUGCCAUGUGGUUUUGAAGGAUCCAUUAGGGGAGCUGCCACGGAAUCGAUUCAGCCACCUGCCAAACAUCUGGUACAACUGGGUCAUCUGGGAUGGGCGAGAAACAUUGUCAUUUACAUCCAAGGGUUUGAUGGCCAUGAGGACUGUGCUGAGAGCCAGGACAAGCUCUUCCAUGGGGUUUCCCCGACUGUGGAGAGGAAGGUCUCACAUGCAUGUGGACACUGAGGAAGUCAGAUGUUUCCUUCAGGGCCACUGGCUGUCAACGUGGUGCUGCUUUCCAUGAGAUUGACCUCAAGACCCACCAGCGCUGCAUUCCGAGGCCAGUACUGUGCCUUUGCUGAGGCCAAGAGAGAAUCCCCCAUGAGCUUUGGUAUGAGCAGCUUCUCUCUGUUCUGGCUCCAGAGUUUCCAUUAGGAACCAUCUCAGAUCCAAGUGUCACCCAUGUGGGAAACAGAAGGGCAGAGGCUGGGGGGCCCUCUCAAAUGGGGAAUGAGGAAGCCUCAGAGGAUAGAGGGGAGGCCCACAGCAUCUGAUCCCUCUCUUCCUUCUACCCACUGGAAAAGAAGAUCCUUUGUUAAUGGAUGAAACCUUCAUAGCCCCAAGGCUGCAGUUAAGCAAGACAUGGGAUGGAGUAUAAGGUCUAACAAAAACUCUGCUCACUACUGCUUUCCCCAGACCGAAGGCUAAACCCAUGCAGGAUGGCUUGGUGAAUCAUCUGCUGCCAGCCCCUUCAGAAUGGCCCUCCAUUCUGCUCUCUGCUCUUUACACAUAAUCAGGAGAGAGUGCUGGGGUCCAGAGUUGCCCUUGAAGAGAGGGAUGGAAAAGUGGCUCAGACGUGGGAGGGGGUGACCAAAAGAGAAAGCCUGGACUCCUCACCUGCCCUCUGGGAGAUCAGAUCUCUCCAAGAGGAGCCCCUGGAUUGGGAAAGUGCUCAGGAAGGCAGUAUUGAGCACCAAACCGCCCAGAACCCUCCACCUGCUGGCAGCAGCUAGGCCAAACUCUUGGGUUUGAAGAGUGAGAGUGCUGAGCACCAGGCUGCUCUCUGGCUUUCGAACCUCCCCACUGGGUCACAGAUAAUCCCUCAGCAGGCACUGUUGGAGGCCAUACCCUUGUCCCAGCACCAGAGAUCCAGGAAGAUCAGGACAUGGGGCAUAAAUACACGGUGCUUCAUCUCCCUGCUGGGGAGGGGACUGAAGAUCACGACCAUUAAUGGCCUUCUCAUCUCAACCUCAGAAAUAAACCUUUCCUCAUGGGAGAGAGUGAAUGCCAGUUGAGAACUCACUAAUAUAAAGACACAGCUGCUCACAAAUGUUCCACUGUGAAUCCCUCAGGAGUCCUGAAAUUGGUGAUAGGAUCUCCAUUUUACAGAUGCAACAACAUUUUCCUCACUUCCUGGAAAUGGCUCCGUUCUAGCAUUUCAACAUGAUCCAGGAGUGACAGUGAUGGUUAAGUCAGAGCAUCUCAAAGAGUCUGAGUGUUGAAUCUUCCAAAGUGUUCAAAUCUGUGGUAAGGGAAAUGAAGCACAAGUCUCUUCAGAAGAAUCCACUCCUAACAGAGAUAAGCAACAGUGGUCUACAUGAUGCCACGGUCCACUGGGUCUUUUUUGGCAACACUCCAAAGUAUUCUCAAUCCGAAGGCAGCCUCCACAAUCAGUUGAUCUUCGGAAAAAAACAAACAAACAAACAAACAAACAAAAAACAACUGUUAUUCACUCCAAAAUGAUGAAGGCAAGCUAACGAAUGGAAAAAAAAGACACUGUGAAUGUCACAUAUGCUUCCUGGCUACACUCAAGGUCUCAAGGAAUAGAUGUGCCUGAUCCCCUGUCUUACCAGAUAAGGGCCAUCACUGAGGAUGCUCUAGGAACCCACAAGGUGGCAAAGAGGUGCCCCUUCCUUGAAGAUGUGAAUGGGUGUGAGACAGGCCUAAAGCUCUGGUGAUCCUCGCUGCCAAGAGGACUGAAGUUCAUGCCCCCAUGCAGCUUGGCAUGCUGUGUGUGCAUGCUCCCCGCCCAGGUAUCGGUUGCCCAGGCACCCUGCCACUGGCUGUAUUUACCUGCUGGGAUCUCCUGGAAGUCCUGUACCCUGAGCAGGUCAGGGUGGAGCUCUUAUUCUGAAGACUUUGGCCACAAAUACCAAAGAAAGCCUUUUCCAAAGGAAAAAUGUUCUAGACAAAGUCCAGGAACUGUUCUAGAACUUGGAACAUGUUGUAAGAUCAUUUACUAUGAGAAUGUUCAUUGUGCUGAUUUUUCUUCUGCAACUUUGCCUUUGAAAUACUUCCAUAGGAUGCUAUUCCUGACUCUGAUCAAAGUAGACGUGAGUAGGAAUUAACUUGAGCAUCCAGUUGUUUCCCCAAGGCUCCUUUGUGACCCUUGCUUUUGUCUUGCUUUUUUUCUUCUUAUCAAAGAUUAUACUGGGCAGGGACUUGCACUGGAAAAUCGAUGUGAGCUCCUCGUGAGCGGGUCCAGCAUAGAGCAGUUGGUAAUGAAUUAACGGAUGCCCUUAGCCUUUUUAAGGACUUACUGCUGGUGAUGGUAAUUCAUUUGGUACAGUUACCUCUGAAAUAAUGUAACCUGCCUGUGCUGCCACAGGCAGAUCAAUAGACAUGAUUUUUAUUUCCCAUCUUGCUAACUUGCUGUGUGACCUUGGUGCUCAGGUCUUGCAUAUCCCUGUGAAACAAAGGAUUAGACUAGAUGUCGAAGGCUUUGUUUAGAUCUUUGAAUGUUAGAUGCUGAAAUCCCAGCAAAGAUGCCAUUUAGCACAAUCUUUUUCCACUGGACUCUAAGGGCAGGUGGGUAAUCUUGCAAUGCUAUUUGCAAGUUUUUUUUUCUUGAGGUGGGGGUUUCUUAGUUUGUAUAUAUCAAGAGAAGAUUGAGUUUGGCAUAAAAUAGAAGCUCAGUAUAUAGUAAUUGAAUUUCUUAUGGCUACAAAUCUACAUGUAACUAUUUAAAAUAUUUCAUGUUUUUUUGUUUUUUCUUCCCCUGCCCUCCCAGGUGUCCAGAUAAGUCAGUGACAAGAGUUAAGUUGGAACAGGGUCUGUGAGUCAGUCAUCUGGAGGUUGCAGUCAUCUAGCUUCUGUGGAUUUUGCUCUAAAGAUAGUUUCUAUUUCUUUGCAUCCAUAUAAGCUAUCUGAUGGUAGAAUACAUUCUGAAAUACAAGUGGCCUUGUGCUUCUCUGGGUACAUGGUCUCAAAUGUAACAAUCUUUUUAAAAAUAAACAAUUUUUGAUACGCAUAAAAUGAAAAAUAUUUAAUCAUCAGCUCUCAGGCAAUUUAGAUUCAGCAUCACAAAGGAAUGUUAGGCGUUUUCCAAAGUUAACUCUGUGUGCAUGCACAGGGUUCUUGAGGGAGCUAUAUAGCAAAAAUAGGUGGCGAGCCCUUAUACUACCAGGUUCAUUUGUUCCAAGUCUGGCUUUGGCUUUUAAUCAAAUGUUAACAUUUGUUUAUUCUCUCAAAAAAUAUUUAUCUAUGAUGUGCCUGACAACAUGCUAGGGAUGGGUAUAAGAGCAUAAAUCUCUGAAGGUACUUUCAAGAGCCCAUUAGGAAAGGGAAUGGGCUCUCACCCUGUUACUUAGUUCUCGGCCUGUCACUUAGUUCCCUUUAAAAAAAAUUCCUCUGUGUUUCAGGAGUUGGAUUAUCCCUUAACUACGUGGGCCCGCUGGUUGGAGUUGCUGUGCUUACUGCAAUGUUGCAUAUGUUAGUUAUUGGUCUUGUGUGACUCGUGACUAGAACAUAUAUGAAGAAGGCAAAUUCUCUGGGUCAGAAUACGACAUUACAGGAGUGCCCACCUAUAGCACCUACUUUUGACCUGAGGAAUUUCUUUUCUUUUCUUUCUUUCUUUUUUUUUUCCCGAGACACAG